rnacentral:rRNA from 1 species
GGCGCGAUUCGCCCUNGGGUUCGAUUCCGGAGAGGGAGUAUGUGGUUUAAUUUGACUCAACACGCAAUUUGACUCAACAUGCAAUUUGACUCAACACGCAAUUUGACUCAACACGCAAUUUGACUCAACACGCAAUUUGACAAUUUGACUCAACACGCAAUUUGACUCAACACGCAAUUUGACUCAACACGCAUUCUGACUCAACACGCAAUUUGACUCAACACGCAAUUUGACUCAACACGCAUGGGUUCGAUUCCGGAGAGCGGUGGGCACCAAUUUGACUCAACACGCAUGGGUUCGAUUCCGGAGAGCGGUGGGCACCAAUUUGACUCAACACGCA